GUGCUUGCUUCGGCAGUACAUAUACUAAAAUUGGAACUAUACAAACAGAAUUAGCAUGGCCCCUGCACAGACAAAUUCGUGAAACAUUCCAUAUUCUU
rnacentral:snRNA from 1 species